GGACAGAAACUGAAUUCCGCUUGUUAUUAACCUCUCCCCUUCCCUGGGCUGUGCCUUUCACCCGAACUCUGGUCCCGCCUUUCUCUGACACUCAGUUCAUUGGUUAUAUAUUUCCUAACGUUUGGCCUUUUAUCUCUCUCCUUCUCUGAGUGCCUUUUUCACAAGUGAAUUCUUUGGUUCAACAAGUCUCCAUGAAACACAUGCUUGGCAUAAUGCUGGGCCCCAGCAAACCUGAGGUUAUCCUUGUGUUAUCCUCACUCUAUCAAUGAAGGGACAGAAGAUCACCGACUCCUGAGAGCUCCCCGUUACCAAUACCGUCUGCACUGACUAGUGAAGAGAUUUUCAGCUUCAAGCAGCCACAAAGCCUCCCAAGCUGGAUUCAGGAAUUGAGAGAAUGAUUGGUUUGUACAAAUGAAAGAAGCAGGAUGAACCUCGGGUUUCACCCGAGUUGAGUCUGCUCUCAGAACAGGGAUGCCCACUGCCCUGUCCAGUACCAAAUGCUUCUGAGUGAAAGAAAGGAGCCUCUUCUCUGCCAGUGGAGGGAAGUUCUGGGCUGUCCCUCUGGCGCUGUGGCCUCUCGAUCCCCAGCCAGACACUGCUGCAGGAGAAUGGUGAGCUGAGAGGUAACUGGUUCCUCCUCUCAGGCUCUGGGGGAGUCUGUGCUGGAGAACUUGCUGGGAUGAUAUUUGCCAACACGCAGCACAGUGCAGGCCUGCAGACGUGCUGACAGAGGCCGAUUCCUGCUACGACUGUAACUACUUUGUUUCAUAUUCAUGCAUUCAAUACGUAGUCAGUCAUUCAUUCAACAAACACUCGCUGUGCGCACACAGUCAAUGUUCCCAGCACUGUUCCAAGGGCUCAGGAGAGUGUGGUAAACAAAAUGAAACAAAAUCUCUGCUUUCCUGACGCUCUCGUCCCACAAGCAAUGAAUAAAUACACACCUAAUAAAAUUGGAAUAAGAAUAGGGGUGGGUGGGGCUGAGCGGAAUUCUCCGUGUACAGAGCGGCCAGAAAGCAGCGUGUGAGCAGAAGACAGGACAGAGUGAGCCCGGGCCGAGGACAGAAGGGACAGAAGCACCGUGGAGCUCUGUGUUUGCUUUCGGCCCAGGGUCUGCAGAGGUCUGGCGAGGUGCGGGCCGUUUCCAAGGUGGACAAUUCCUGCCAAAUGCCUCGGAGCCACCUCGAGUGUCUUGAGGCCCAGCCACGGCCUUAGCAAUAAAGCUGCUUCUGCUCCCUCCAGCCCUGCACGCUAAUGCUCCCGACCCUUCCUGUGGGAGAGAGGCUCGAGGGGGCAGCAGGGCUGCGGGAUCAGAAC